rnacentral:tRNA from 1 species
GCGGUGUUGGUUUAGUGGUAGAAUACCUGCCUUCCAAGCAGGGGACAAGGGUUCGAUUCCCUUACGCCGCA